AACUUUCAACAACGGAUCUCUUGGUUCUGGCAUCGAUGAAGAACGCAGCGAAAUGCGAUAAGUAAUGUGAAUUGCAGAAUUCAGUGAAUCAUCGAAUCUUUGAACGCACAUUGCGCCCCUCGGUAUUCCGGGGGGCAUGCCUGUUC
rnacentral:rRNA from 5 species